rnacentral:rRNA from 1 species
CCAUUAGAUGAGCCUAGGUCGGAUUAGCUAGUUGGUGAGGUAAUGGCUCACCAAGGCGACGAUCCGUAACUGGUCUGAGAGGAUGAUCAGUCACACUGGAACUGAGACACGGUCCAGACUCCUACGGGAGGCAGCAGUGGGAAUAUUGGACAAUGGCGAAAGCCUGAUCCAGCCAUGCCGCGUGUGUGAAGAAGGUCUUCGGAUUGUAAAGCACUUUAAGUUGGGAGGAAGGGUAGUAACCUAAUACGUUGCUACUUUGACGUUACCGACAGAAUAAGCACCGGCUAACUUCGUG